rnacentral:rRNA from 1 species
CUCGAGGCCAGAUCUAGAGUUUGAUCCUGGCUGAGAUUGAACGCUGGCGGCAUGCCUUACACAUGCAAGUCGAACGGCAGCAUGGGAGCUUGCUCCUGAUGGCGAGUGGCGAACGGGUGAGUAAUAUAUCGGAACGUGCCCUAGAGUGGGGGAUAACUAGUCGAAAGACUAGCUAAUACCGCAUACAAUCUACGGAUGAAAGUGGGGGAUCGCAAGACCUCAUGCUCCUGGAGCGGCCGAUAUCUGAUUAGCUGGUUGGUGGGGUAAAAGCCUACCAAGGCGACGAUCAGUAGCUGGUCUGAGAGGACGACCAGCCACACUGGGACUGAGACACGGCCCAGACUCCUACGGGAGGCAGCAGUGGGGAAUUUUGGACAAUGGGGGCAACCCUGAUCCAGCAAUGCCGCGUGAGUGAAGAAGGCCUUCGGGUUGUAAAGCUCUUUUGUCAAGGAAGAAACGGUAGUAGCUAAUAUCUAUUACUAAUGACGGUACCUGAAGAAUAAGCACCGGCUAACUACUUGCCAUCAGCCGCGGUAAUACGUACGGUGCAAGCGUUAAUCAGAAUUACUGGGCGUAAA